UUUCCUGUGGCUCAGUCAGUAGUGUAUUGUGCUAGCAAUGCAAAAAGUCAUGGUUCAAACCCCAGGGAAA
rnacentral:tRNA from 1 species